GACGAACGCUGGCGGCGUGCUUAACACAUGCAAGUCGAACGGAAAGGCCCUGCUUUUGUGGGGUGCUCGAGUGGCGAACGGGUGAGUAACACGUGAGUAACCUGCCCUUGACUUUGGGAUAACUUCAGGAAACUGGGGCUAAUACCGGAUAGGAGCUCCUGCUGCAUGGUGGGGGUUGGAAAGUUUCGGCGGUUGGGGAUGGACUCGCGGCUUAUCAGCUUGUUGGUGGGGUAGUGGCUUACCAAGGCUUUGACGGGUAGCCGGCCUGAGAGGGUGACCGGCCACAUUGGGACUGAGAUACGGCCCAGACGCCUACGGGAGGCAGCAGUGGGAAAUAUUGCACAAUGGGCGGAAGCCUGAUGCAGCGACGCCGCGUGCGGGAUGACGGCCUUCGGGUUGUAAACCGCUUUCGCCUGUGACGAAGCGUGAGUGACGGUAAUGGAUAAAGAAGCACCGGCUAACUACGUG
rnacentral:rRNA from 1 species